UCUCGUGUAAAACAAAUGAUGCAAGGAUAAGGCUAGGUGGCGCAUGGAUUGGUUGCUCAUUCAAAUUCAUACUUUCUUUUGAAUUUGAAUGGCCAACCAACCAUCUUUAUCCACCCAUAUGGUGCACAAAUGUGGGGCAUGGGAAGGCCUUUGCGUGGAAGAAAAUUCAUGAGAAGUUGCUUCUCGUGAAUUCAAAUGAGCGUAGAAGAAGUGAGGUGGCGCAGGG
rnacentral:lncRNA from 1 species